rnacentral:lncRNA from 1 species
GCAAAGGCGCUUGCUGAAUAUUAGAUACAUGAUUGGGCAGAUGGAGCGUCUACUGUGCUCGCACCUGUGCCAAACAACAGUCUCUGGGUAUCUUGUUCUGCCUCACACUGGUGCCAGGUAUUGGCCAGCUCACAUGUCCCCACAGGGCCUGGGGUACAUAGGAACCAGAGCCCACGUUUGAAGCCCUAUCUUCAACAGCACUGAUCCACAGCCUUCCAGACCUGAGGCCUUAUGAGGCUGCAUGAUUCCAGGGUUUGGAAUGAGAAACAGGAACUUUGGAUGUCCUGAAAGGGGCUAGGCUCAGUAAUGUGCAUGAGCUUCUCUAGCUGUUAACCAAUGCUGAAGCUACCAUCUACAGUCAAGCAUUGUGUACUUGCUGCCUACUCACCACUCUCUUGUCCGGGACCCUUUGGGUAAACACCUUGUAGAGUCGCCAGCUCUUUCCCAGAAUGGGGCCAAACACAAGGGAGGUCCCAAUGCACAGCAUGGACAGUCUUGUCUAUGGGUGGAAGGGGACAGAAGAGUCACAAGAGGAACCUUUAUCAGUUCUCCACACACUCUGAUCUGUAGGGUCUGGGUCCCACAGAGCGCACGAGGUACAGAGUGAACCUCACCAAGUGUUCUGGGAUUCCCUCGAAAAGUGCCCACUCCAAGGAUAAAGGAAACCACCACCCACGGGAGCAGCUGGUUUAAAAAAAUAAUCAAAACUUUAUAGUCAAAACCAAAUUUUAAAACUUCACCUACCUGAAUGAGAGUUUCCAUUGAGCUCCCCACUAAAACAUCCUGAAUCCCAAAGAGGUAAGCGCUACUGUAAGUGAGACAACUGCCCAGUAAGGUCACAAUGUUCAGAUUGGGACUGGACAUCUUCACAAUCCUAGAGGGGAUCAGGAAGAAAGACACUUACAGCCAUGACCUUUUGCCUUGGGGCCAAAGACCUACGAGACCAAAGCUUCCUCACCAGCAUAAUCUCCAGUGCAGCCUUGGAGUGAAGGACCACUGGGAAGAAACAUCUUUACAGCCCUGUGAAAACUUAUAAUUUCUUUAAAUUUAUUUUCACAAAGAACUAAACUCUGGCACUUAUUCCUUGUAUAACUCCCAAGUCUUUUAAAAGAAGGAUGACUACCUACAAACAGGUGGUAUUGGAGAAGAGUUGGGAUUUUAUGCAUGAAGUUUAUGGUUGCUAGGGGAUUGCUAUGUGCAGCUUAGUGAAUAAAUAACCAGCAGGUAGAUAUCCACAGAGUUUGGAGCCCUUAGAGGUUUUUUUUUUUUCAUAUACUAUUUACUUUAUUUGAUAUGUAAACCAUUUUCCUCUACUUUUCCAAGAAAGAAAGAGGAUAAAGGGAUUAGAAGCAGGAAAUUGGGGAAAGGCCUUUUCUCAAGUAUUAAUAGUUUUAGAUGAGAUUGGAGACAAAUUUGAAAGUUAGAGGGAGAUGUAAAUAAUCAGGGUUUCAGACAAAUACCCUGGGCACCAACAGAAGUUCAGGAUGUGAACUGGUUAACCUAAGGGCAAUGCCAGGCUCACACUGGACAGUGACUG